rnacentral:lncRNA from 1 species
AGCCACCCUUUGCCUUGAUGACAGCUUUGCACACUAUUGGCAUUCUCUCAACCAGCUUCACCUGGAAUGCUUUUCCAACAGUCUUGAAUGAGUUCUGACAUUCGCUGAGCACUUGUUGCCUGCUUUUCCUUCCCUCUGCGAUCCAACUCAUCCCAAACCAUCUCAAUUGGGUUGAGGUCGGCUGAUUGUGGAGGCCAGGUCAUCUGAUGCAGCACUCCAUCACUCUCCUUGGUCAAAUAGGCCUUACACAGCCUGGAGGUGUGUUUUGCAUCAUUGUCCUGUUGAAAAACAAAUGAUAGUCCCACUAAGCGUAAACCAGAUGGGAUGGUGUAUCGCUGCAGAAUGCAGUGGUAGCCAUGCCGAUUAAGUGUGCCUUGAAUUCUAAAUAAAUCACUGAGUGUCACCUGCAAAGCACCCCCACACCAUCACACCUUCUCCUCCACGCUUUAUGGUGGGAACCACACAUGCAGAGAUCAUCCGUUCAUCUACUCUGCGUCUCACAAAGACAUGGUGGUUGGAACCAAAAAUAUCAAAUUUGGACUCAUCAGAUUAAGGGACAGAUUCCCACCGGUCUAAUGUCCAUUGCUCGGGUUUCUUGGCUCAAGCAAGUAUCUUCUUCUUAUUGGUGUCCUUUAGUAGUGGUACAUUUGCAGCAAUUCGACCAUGAAGGCCUGAUUCACACAAUCUCCGCUGAACAGUUGAUGUUGAGAUGUGUCUGUUACUUGAACUCUGUGAAGCAUUUAUUUGGGCUGCAAAUUCUGAGGCUGGUAACUCUAAUGAACUUAUCCUCUGCAGCAGAGAUAACUUUGGGUCUUCCUUUCCUGUGGCGGUCCUCAUGAGAGCCAGUUUCAUCAUGGCGAUUGAUGGUUUUUGCGACUGCACUUGAAGAAACUUUAAAAGUUCUUGAAAUAUUUCAGAUUGACUGACCUUCAUGUCUUAAAUUAAUGAUGGACUGUCAUUUCUCUUUGCUUAUUUGAGCUGUUCUUGCCAUACUAUGGACUUGGUCUUUCCCAAAUAGGGCUAUCUUCUGUAUACCACCCCUACCUUGUCACAACACAACUGAUUGGCUCAAAUGC